GAGACUCUAUCCACCCCCACACAUACACACAAAAAUUAAAAUAAAUAAUAAUGGAAGAAAAAAAAAGAGAGAGACCUCGCAUACCGUAAAACGUUUUAAAGGUCCGUUAUCUGAGCACGAGGAACUAACACAGUUGGUUAACCCUGUGUAAAGUUCUGUUUGUGGUUCCUUUUCAAUUAGCGGUUACAGUACCAGUAAUUGAAGCUACCGGUUUCUCGAAAAAGAUAUUUAAAAAAAUAAUAAUAAUAAAAAACCGACUUGUUUUUGGUUUUCAUUUGAGAAGACAGUAGAGAUAAGGGUAGGAUGUGGACGCAGUGAACUCACCCCGCACUCACCGUGAACACGGAUUUAACGUUAACGGACUACCUGAGAAUCAAUUUUUCAUCGUAGAGUCACUUUGGACGGAUUUAACAGAGAUUUAUUCGGUUUAUUUGACAGAUUUCCAACACUGGACCACCGCCUUCCCAGAGGCUCGUGACCAAAGCUCAGUGGAUCAGCAGUGUGAGCUAACGUGUCGGCCAGUCGGCUAUUGUUUUUACGUUCGUCAUUCGGAGCGAGUGAGAGACCGAAACCCGUGUGUUGAUAACACCCCCAAUGAUAUGUGCGUGGGAGGCCGAUGCCUGCUUCCUCUCAGAGUGAGGGGUGUGAUGGCAUGCUUGGCUCGGGUGUGGUGUGUGAUUGGUGCAGCAUUUGUGUGUGUGGGAGGCUGAUGCCUGUUCAUCUCUGCACUUGGGCUCAUCCCCUCUCCAAUGGCCCACUGAUGGAGCAUCUGAUUCUCACGCUGCUGACCUGAGUGGAGUCCAAGCCCUGACAGCAUGAAGCAUGCAGAAUGGCUCUACACAGUUUGCCGUGCAUUCCGGGACUUAUCUUUGACCCUGAGGCUCCUCGAAUCCAAGCUUUGUGUGAUAGAUCUGUGAAAAUACAGUUAAUGUAGCAGCUUGAAUAUUUGCUUCUAAAUAUCCAUGUGUGAAGGUGUGUGUGUGUGUGUGUGUGUGUGUGUGUGUGUGUGUGUG
ensembl:lncRNA